rnacentral:rRNA from 1 species
UACGGAGGGUGCAAGCGUUAUCCGGAUUCACUGGGUUUAAAGGGUGCGUAGGUGGGCUGGUAAGUCAGUGGUGAAAUCUCCAGGCUUAACUUGGAAACUGCAUUCGAUACUGCCGUGCUUGAGGACUGGAGAGGAGACUGGAAUUUACGGUGUAGCGGUGAAAUGCGUAGAUAUCGUAAGGAAGACCAGUGGCGAAGGCGGGUCUCUGGACAGUUCCUGACGCUGAGGCACGAAAGCUAGGGGAGCGAACAGG